UUAGCUAAUGAUGACAACUUUUAAAAUUGAUAUAACAGUAAUUUUAACAUUUAACAUUUAUAUAUUAUACUAAUUUAAUUUUGAUUCUAAAAAAUUUAACUCUCAACAUUUACAUAUUGUGUAAUUUAGUUUUUUUUCUAGAUUUUUAUUUUCUUUGUUACCACUAAGGAUCAAAAUGUUGCUUUGGAGAGCGGGUAACAACAUCCUUCCAGUGAGAAAAACUUUGGUUCAAAGGAGAAUUUCGGCACCCUUCUUAUGUUGUAUUUGUCGAGACAACAAUGAAUCUAUCUUGCAUGUGCUCUGCUCUUGUGCUGAAUUGACUAAAGUUCGAAACCUCCCAUCUUUCUCUUAUAAAGUCCAAGAUGUUGAAGGUAACUCGUUUUUUGAAUGGAUGAUCAAUUGCUUUCGAAAGCUUGGUAUAGAGGAGUUUCGAAGGUGAUGUUUUACAAUUUGGAAAAAUGAAAUAACUGAAAAUAAUUGAAAUUUGAGGGGGAUGGGUGAUGACACUAGCAUAGUGAUGAAUUUUGCCCAACCAUAUAUGAGGGAGCUUGAUGCUUCCUGUUUUGCCAAUCGAAUGGUACCAAUCCAUUAUCAUAGAAAAUGGAAGCUGUCGCUGAGAGACAUCCUUCUUAAGUUAAAUGUUGAUGUUGCUUUAACUGGUGAUAGAUGUAAUGUAGGGGGUACUUUGAGGGAACUGUGAUUGGAGAUUUGCCAAGAAAGCUUUACCUUUGCAUUCUGUGUUAGAAUAAUAAUAAUAAUUGACAUUUUGCAUUCUGUGUUAGAAUAAUAAUAAUAAUUGACAUAAAACUUAAUAGAUUAGGAUUUAUCAUAUCAAAUCAUCAAAUUAUCAAGAAUAAAUUAAAAACAAUAGUAGAUAAAAAAACGUACCUGAAUCACUUGAAAUCUUGAGAUAUUAAAAUCUUAUAGUUUUGAUCUUCCAAAUUAACAUAUAAGUAUUUUAAAAAAUGUGACACUCUCUUCUCUAAAGAUGAGAUGUCAUGUAUAAUUUGGGAGCAUACCCUUAAUAUAGAACAUGAAUACAUCCAAUUUAGUUUACCUUAGACCAUAAAAAUUUAUAAUAUGUAUCGACCAAAGGUGAUGCUUAUAAGUUGUAUAGCAACUAAAUAAAAAACUUUAAAACAAACAACUAAAGCACGUAGAAGGAAGAAAAAUGGAUUUCGCUACUGCAACCUUGUCAGGUUUUGAACAGCCUGGCUCGUUGAUACCUUCAGAGAUUGAACCAGUCACUAAAAAAGUCCAAAAUAAGGAGUGUAAUGUGACAUCUCUAGGAGACUUAACUAUGAAAGAAUCGUUUAAUUCGAAAUUGAUGGUGAAUGUAGGUAACAAGACUGGUGAUACAUAGGUGGUGAUGGUGAAUGAUGAUUUAGAAAUAAUGGAAGAUGAUAUUAGAAUUUCAUUGGAAGGUCCGUAUCCAGAGAUUUUCUUCUCAGACCGAGUGCAAGAAAUACUAGAUAAAAGCAUGGAUUUAACAGUAGUAGUUAGGCUUUUGGGACGAACAAUUGGGUACAAAACCCUCCUUAACAGAAUACAGACUCUUCUUGUUAGAUCGUUUUAGGUGAUCGCCAUAGAUAAUGAUUAUUACUUGGUAAAGUUUUCUUUGAGUCAAGACUAUACCAAAGCACUCACAGAGGGACCAUGAAUGGUUUAUGGGAAUUGCCUUACUGUUCAACUUGGAGUCAAGACUUCUCUACGGGCAAACAACAUCCCUCAAAGAUAGUGGUGUGGAUUAGAAUGUCGGGGCUCUCGUAUAGGUAUUAUAACAAGAAACUAUUGAGAAUAAUAGCAAGGACAUUGGGGAAGGUGGUAAAGGUGAACUAUAACAUAACAAAUGGUGAGUUUGGAUAGGCGGUGCGUUUAUCUGCGGUUAGUGUAAAAACAGCGGUGGCGGUGAGAUUAGAUAUUGUAACGAUAAUGUAGCGUGAGAUAAAAAGUAAGCUAAACGCACCGCAUCCAAUCGCCUAUCCAAACCCACCCAAAAUCAAGGAGAAGGAAGUUUGCGUGAUUUGCGAUUGUGGUAAAUCUGAUGAAACCGCUAAAGGCUUUUUUUGGAAUCAACAACGUCCCUUUUUGCAUUGAGUAUGAGGGGCUUCCUUUAAUAUGCUAUAAGUCUGGUUGUUAUGGACACCUUCAAGAGCGUUGUACAUUGGAAAGAAAGGAACCGAAGGAAGCUCGAUCUGUGGGUAAUGAAUCCAGACCGUCACCGCCGUCAAUAGAGAGGAUAAUGGCUGGCCAAAACUGCUUUGGUCUGUGAAUGCAAGCUCUUGGCUGGAAAUUGACAAAAUAAUUGGCAGCAAACAAUUAUAGGAAGAAACAAAAUGGUGUUAAAUUAGCCUCGAAAAAUACUCAUUUUGAUAUUCUUGUAGAUUUGGAUGACACGAUAAUUGAGGAAUUGCGGGAUUUUGGGAAUGCAAAUUUUUUAGGUGAUAAGGGAAGUG
rnacentral:lncRNA from 1 species